GAUGAACGCUGGCGGCGUGCCUAAUACAUGCAAGUCGAGCGAACAGAUGAGGAGCUUGCUCCUCUGACGUUAGCGGCGGACGGGUGAGUAACACGUGGAUAACCUACCUAUAAGACUGGGAUAACUUCGGGAAACCGGAGCUAAUACCGGAUAAUAUAUUGAACCGCAUGGUUCAAUAGUGAAAGACGGUUUUGCUGUCACUUAUAGAUGGAUCCGCGCCGCAUUAGCUAGUUGGUAAGGUAACGGCUUACCAAGGCAACGAUGCGUAGCCGACCUGAGAGGGUGAUCGGCCACACGGAAACGGAGACACGGUCCAGACUCCUACGGGAGGCAGCAGUAGGGAAUCUUCCGCAAUGGGCGAAAGCCUGACGGAGCAACGCCGCGUGAGUGAUGAAGGUCUUCGGAUCGUAAAACUCUGUUAUUAGGGAAGAACAAAUGUGUAAGUAACGAUGCACGUCUUGACGGUACCUAAUCAGAAAGCCACGGCUAACUACGU
rnacentral:rRNA from 1 species